UAUCUGUGCAACGGAGGAGAAAAACCAUAAUACAAUAUAUCCUUCCAGUCAAUCCCGCGGAUCCAAUCACCUCCUGCGGCUAGCUUCGUUAAAGAGACUUACAGUAGCAACUCAUGGAGUGCAAGCGAUGCGGACCUCCGUCCUGCUGCUCGUGACGGUCGAAAUGCCAGGACCAGGCAGAGAAGCUCGCCAAAAAGGAGACGCUCACUGAGCACCAAGAUGACGCUCCAGAAGAUCGACCAUGUGGCCCAGCCAACUGGGAUGAUCCUGUGCGACCUUUGACUUCUAACGACAGCCGGCAUGCGUUUGAUGGCCUCUUCCAGACCUUGGGCACCACCAUUAAACUAGGCUAUACACUUUCCGGACCUCGCACUUCCUUCCUUCUCAGAUGCAGCAGAAGGUGGAGCCCAUGAAGAAGCUCAACGAGGUGCUCAAGGCGCUUGCCCUUAAUCGAGCACCAAUUAAGCGAAUGUAAGACAUUGGCUCAUUUCGUUAUAUAUUCCUUACCAUUGAAGUUUCCCAUUUGGAGCUCGACAAAGUCGAGUUGGACGAAGAGCUGCUUGCAGUUGCGCAGCUACGAGGUGGCAAGACAGUGCGGCACCUUGAUGCGCCCCUUGAUGCGAAUUGAAUAUGUUUUGGCUAGACUAGAUGCUCCAGUAGCGUCAGUACUAUAUAUUGGCAAUAAAGCUUUGUUUUUACGUUAUAAUUGUAAAGAAGAGAAGGUGUUCCCCCUGAUAAAACGUCUAUUUUAAAUAGAGAGAGAGCCAAUGACUUACGCCCAGAGUAAGAUCACGUACGUUUUCCUUGCUGCAUUUGCUGUUCCUUUGCUUUCCCU